rnacentral:rRNA from 1 species
GACGAACGCUGGCGGCGUGCCUAAUACAUGCAAGUCGAACGAAGCUGUUUUAACUGGUGCUUGCACCGACUUAAACAACUGAGUGGCGAACGGGUGAGUAACACGUGGGUAACCUGCCCCAAAGCGGGGGAUAACAUUUGGAAACAGAUGCUAAUACCGCAUAACAACAGAAACAACAUGGUUUCUGUGUCAAAGAUGGUUUCGGCUAUCACUUUGGGAUGGACCCGCGGCGUAUUAGCUAGUUGGUAAGGUAAUGGCUUACCAAGGCAAUGAGACGUAGCCGAACUGAGAGGUUGAUCGGCCACAUUGGGACUGAGACACGGCCCAAACUCCUACGGGAGGCAGCAGUAGGGAAUCUUCCACAAUGGACGAAAGUCUGAUGGAGCAACGCCGCGUGAGUGAAGAAGGUUUUCGGAUCGUAAAACUCUGUUGUCAGAGAAGAACGUGUGCGAGAGUAACUGUUCGUGCAGUGACGGUAUCUGGCCAGAAAGCCACGGCUAACUACGUGCCAGCAGCCGCCGUAA